UCCAAGGGGACCUCAUGGAUGUGGAGAAAGAUAAUCAUCUUCCCAGGAAGAAGCAGGAGUUUGGAACUGGCGGUUGAGAAUCUUUAGGAAUGUGGCCUCUACUUCAGAAGGGUCCAGGGAGGGCCUGUGUUGUCUGCAACUACCACAGACAUUUCCUGACCACAAAAUGGCUCCUUUUUGGUCCCAUUGGAGACUCAGGCUAUUGUGUGGAGGACGUGGAGGGCCCUAUGCCAGAUCGCACUCCCCCUAGAGGGCCUUGCUCCAGGACCAUCCCUGCCACCCCAUCCCUCCCUGACCUCUCACUCCUCUGAGAUUGGCAACGCUUGACAAGUGCACAGCCUGGCUGCUGAUGACAUACAAUCAUUGAGUCCCCAUCACGUCAUCCGUGCUCAUCUCACCCCCACUGCUGGACUAUACCCUCAUCCCAGAGAUGCAAGGCAUUUCCGUGUGCUCCUGCACAGUGAGUAAAGUGUCUUGGUAGCUCAAUACAGCAUCUUACAACUUGAGAAGGAGGAUACAGACCACACAUAGACUUCAGCUGUUCAGACAUCAAGUCAAGCUGCCCACUGGGGGCCCCACAUUAGCCCACAUGCACACAUCCAGGCUGCUGAGUAGCUCCAUCAGUGAGUCUGGAGUGGGAUCACUGGCUUGGGCUAGGAAGUGGAUGCCUGCACUGGGUGUGCACUAAGACUGCCCAGGAAGAACUCCCUGGCGGACUUUAGUGUACUACCCAGAGAUCAUUAGGAGGAGGCAACUCAUCAGUGCUGUCCUGUGUGCUCCAUGAAAAGAGAAGGGUCCACCUUUUAUCCACUGAAGUCCUGCCAUGUGCAUGGCAUGAGAUAAGAAGAAGGAGACGCAUGGACAAAGUUGGCAUUUUAGAGUCUGGGGGCACAGAGAUACUAUGGUCUCUGGGUUGUGCCAUAGCCCAUGAAUUCAGGCUUAUCUGAGAAAUUCCUCCAAGCAUAGAACACUUCAUGUCUGAUAGUCCAAGUGAAGAUGCUGGGGUUCUCCUGAUUGGCCCAAAUGGUAAGCUGUAGCAGCAGGUGACCAGAGUUUUGUUUGAACCUGGCGUGACAGGAAGAACCCACCUUCCUGCAAGGCAGAGAGUUCUAAUUCCUUCACAUCCAACAAUUGGUGUUUUCUGUCUUCUCCACAUUGGCCUUCAGAGUCCCAUGAAGAGAGACCUUCCACUGAGACUGUAUCGCAGCCUCCCCCUUUCCUUCAGAGAUUCCACCACUCCACAGCAAACAUGCGGUGUUAAUCAAUUUUCCUUCACUGUGACAAAAUACCUGAGAAAAAAAGAGGAAAAGCUCAUUUUGACUCACAGUUUCCCAAGUUUUAGUCCCAAGCUCCAUUGCUUUGGGCCUGAGGUGAGGCAGAACAUCAUGGUAGAAGGGCAUGGUAGAGGAAAGCUGAUCAAUCAUAUCAUGGCAAUCAGAAAGGAGAGAGUGAGACAGACAGACAUACCGGGGACAAGACAUACUCUUCCAGGGGACACCCCCAGUGACCUUCCCCCAACUGGACCCUGCCUCCUAAAGUUUCUACCACCCCCCAGUAAUGCCAUCAGCUAUGAACCCAUCAAAGGAUUAAUCCACUGGUAAGAUCAGAGUCCUCGUGAUUCAGUCAGUUCCCAAGAGCCCCACUGAUGAACACUGCUGCAUUGUGGACUAAGCCUUCAACCUGUAGCUUUUGGGGAACUUUCCAGAUCCAAACCAUAACACACGUCCUUUCAUUCCCUCAACCUGGGCCUACGACGUUUCCUGCAGGGGCUCCUACUGUGAAGCAUCAGACAUGUUCCCAUCUCCACCAUCUGUGUGAAGCUUCCCUCCAGCCCACCUUACCUGUGGGGUAUAUCCAGACUGCUCUGCCUCUGCAAGGCUCUCCUCAUCAACCAAUCAUUUGUCCAGCAAGUAUUUAUUCCACACCUGCCUGUGCUGGGCAUGGUGGAGAUUCGUUGGUGAAUGAGACCAUUAGUCCUGCUUUCAUCAAGCUUAUAAUUAAGUAGGGAAGACAGACAUCAAUAUUAACAAAUGCUUAUGUAAUGGCAGUGGUGACAUGUGCUGCCACAGUGCAACAGCUCAUACCAGUUCCUUUCUCUGCACUUGUACACCUGCAAACAUCUGCUUGUCCUUCAAGCCUGAGCUCAUAUUCCCCCUCAUUCACAAUACCUUUCUGACCACCCACACACACAACAGGGUGCUCUUCUGUGUCCACAACUGUCCUUGGGCAUAACUGCUCUCCACAAAGACUAAAACCCAAGGAUAGAGACCAGAUCACCCUCACUUUGGAACCCCUUGCCUGGCACAGAGCCCAGUUCAGUGGAGGUGCUCAGGAAAUGAUUGAAAGUUCCUGCCAACAUUGAUCCAACCUGUGCAUGAACAUUUUCAGGGUCCAGAAUUCAUGCUUUCUUCUCUUUCUUAGAUAGCCUUUUGUUUCUUUUUCUCAUUCUAAAAGGUAUUUGGGUUAGGAGAUGACAAUGUGAAUACACUUAAUACUGAACUUUAUACUUUAAAAUGGUUAAGAUGGGACUGGGGCUGUAGCUCAGUGGUGGAGCACUUGCCUAGUGUGUGUGAGGCACUGGGUUCAAACCUUAGCACCACAUAAAACAAAGAAAGUAAGGCAUUCUGUCCAUCUACAACUAUAGAAAAAUUAAAAAUAAAUAAAUAAAAUGGUUAAGAGUGCAAAUUUUGUGUUAUAUGCAUUUUACCACAAUUUUUUUGAAAUGCAAAGAAUGAGUACCAAAAAAAAAAAAAGGAGGGGGGGUUCU